GAGGAGCCAGCCAUAAGGGGUUGGCUUCACAAAUGUAAAUAUUUCAUAAUUUAUUUAGUAACGUGGCUUUUCUUUUUCCCCCAGGCAAAAGCUUUAAUAAAGGAAUAGGUCUACUGCAACAAAGGAAACAAGAGCAAAAAUAGAGACAAGGACACAUCCUAACCCCAUUAAUAUCAGUGGGAAUCUGCCUUCAUCUUCAGUGGGAACAGAGCUUCAAAGACACAGGAAUCACCCAUAGAACCUGAAGGUAAAAUCUGAGCUUUCCAUCAUCUAUGACACAAACCGUGUCUAGAGGAUGGUAGCGUAGUCGCAACAUGGUGGAAAUGUCACCAACAGGAGUUUCACAUCCUUGGCUUGACCACAGUCUUUCUCCCAGCGCUGCCAGAGUGGCUGUUGGUGUGUGGGCAGCUUUGCCAGAAGAACCUCUCUGAGGCAGGACCAUACAGGAGCUGGGCAGAGAAGAACCUCCUCUUGGGCUGCAUAACAAGACACAGUAUCAAGUCACUGUAUGAUGACGUGCAUAAUGUACAACCCGGAGAGGCUGUUACACUCUUGAUGGUGCCCUCAUUUUAAAAAAUCAGCAUGUAUGUAAUCAAAGAAAUGAGGAACGAAGUAUGUGAUUUGGCUGCUUUGAAAAUCAUAUAGUAAUGAUUUUUGUGUUUGUGGGCUUAGCUUGGUAGCCCAUCUAAAAUGACUGUCAGUAGAUAGAUUGUGCAAUGAAGAUGAAACACAGUAUUGCAGGUAAGAAACUAAUUUUUAUUUCACAG
rnacentral:lncRNA from 1 species